AAAAUACUUAUGUUCCUCUAAUCAUAAAUAUUAUGUGCUUGAGAGUCAAUGCAUUUAUGCACCUGCGAAUUUAAAUAUUUAUCCUUUAGAAUUACCAAAUUAGCAAAUAUAUACAUAAAUAUUUCCAGUGACAAUAUAACGGCGAAAUAAUGGCCAAAACACCUUCCGACGGUGUUCUUAAACCGAAAUACAACACUGAUUGCGAGAUGCGGUCGGUUAUCCUGCCUUAUCGGGAAGGUGUUAAGUACACUUUUGGCGAUGAGUUCAUCUCUCGGGAGGAGCAGGGCGAAUUCGUCUUCCUAAAUGUCAAACCCAUCAAGUGGAACUGGAGUCCCACCUCACUCGUGGAAAUUUCCUGUGAAGCUGGCAAAUACUUGGUCAAAUCGGGCGAGGUUAAUAUAGUCAUCAAAAACGGGGUCAUCCUUGAUGUCCUUGCCUACUCCGGAACGUGGCUGAAUUUUGGGGAUGAGUUGCAGUUCACAAAAUAUCAUGACGACAUUUCCGGUGGACUUGCCAUGUUCACUUUUCAAAAACGAGAAUGCGCCACCAAUUGGGAUACGACAGUUGGACAAAAUUCGAUUGGAUCUGGGGUAGAAGAAAAUAGUUCUGGAUUAAAUUUCAAUCCGGGAUUAAAUCAAGUAAUAUUCUCUCACAUUGUGUCCCACCUUUCCCUCGGAAACUUACUGAGCGUUCGACUAGUUUGCAAACAGUGGGACAAACACGUGGCCCCCCUAGUGCGGAAGAAAUGUGUCAUAAAUUUCCGUAAUUCGAGUACCACUCCGUCCCUGAAAUUUUCACGGUACGUCCAUGAAAUGAAGGGCGUCGCACCCUUCCCAAAUUGGACGAUUAACUGUCCCUACUCCGUCCCUGGAAAAAGAGACGACGAUAAAGGACGCGCCGCCAAGUAUUUCGCAGAUUUGAACUGGUUUCUCCACCCGCGCUGGGGACACCACGUGAAAACCUUGUCGCUAAGUGGACACAUCUACUCCGACCCAGAUUACGGUGUUUACAUCAAAAUCGUUACUUUCUUUAAGGAUACUUUGGAACAAUUAAGGGUCCACUUCUACAUGAAAAUUUUCAACGAGGAUGGACACGAAGAGAACUAUUCUAUGAAGAAGAGUGACGAUCUAGUUUUCAAAAAUUUGCAGAAAUUUUCCAUGACCAUACUUCCCUAUGACUCGGGAACGUUGACAGUUUCCGCGCCUUGGAUUAAGACUUGGGCGUGCGCGAUUAAAGGUGUGGAUUCUAUGGAAGUCCUCGGAUCGGCUUGGCUGGGGUCAAGAUUUGUCCAGGAGUUGCAAAAAGUGGGAACUUUGUCUUAUAAAAAUUUGAGGGAGAUCGUGCUAACGUGCAGGUCAGAGGAUGCCAUCAAUUUUCUCACCAAGGUUAAGCAACCCUUGAAAAAGGUGACGUUUGGGGAACCUCUGGAAAUCAGGGACGUUCCAAAGUUUGAGAAUUUCCUCAAGAAAUGUGCCGGAUCUUUGCAACUUCUCAGUUUUCGAAUAUCUACAAAAGGCAUGGAAGAAAAGUCCCGUUUCGCCUUGAAUUUCCCGUGUCUCCGGAACCUGAAAAAAUUGGAUAUUCAUUUUGGACUCUUCAAACCCUACCAUUUUGGUGAAGAGAAGUGUUUUAUCAAAGACGUGGCACGAUUUAGACUCUCAUUCCCCCCACUGUCAUUUGGAAAUGAUCGUAUCGACCAUGGGCGCCACCUUCCCUUGAUUCGUUCCAUCGUGGUGACACCGUCGUUAAGUGGGGCUGAUGAGAGGGCCGAGUUCUGGAACACGUACAGCGACCUGAUUGACAGUCUCCUGCCAAAGGUUGCGCAUAGUUGCGAAACGCUUAGAAAUUUUGAAAUUCCGAGUAAUCUAGAGUUUAACGUAAAAACCUCACUUCUUCGAGGGGACGAACUGCCAGACAUAUUUCCCAAUGUGAGGAGCAAAUGGAUCAAUGAUUUGCAGACAAUUAGCAACAAUUAAAACAUUGGGUGCAAAGUUAAAUUGAAAUUCGGUAAUGAAAUGAACGUGCAUGAGUGAUGCUUACAAUGCGAUGGUGUGAAGUUUCUUGUUAAUGUAAAACGAUUAUUAUUUUUUGUCCAUAUCAUAUCAAGUGCCUUAUAUCGUAUCGUACUUGUUCAAUUUGCAACGAUAAUAAUUUAUCAGAGGAUGGAUAUGAUUUUUUCAAUUUGUUUUCAAUAACCAGGUCCGAAAUUUGCAAGUUUUUUCUCUAACUCUUAAUAGAUUAUACAAAUUUCAUGGUUUUACAUAUUACUUUAACUUUGUAUUCAUAUAAAUAAUCGUCAUAAUGAUAAUAAUAAUCAGUAAUACUGAUUCAGUAUAAUAAUAAGUAAGAAUUUGUGAACGAUACAUCUUGACGAUAUAUCUACCUCUGAAAUAUAUGCUCCAGAAAAGAUGCAUCAGUCGGCAAG